GGGGAUUAGUGGCGAACGGGUGAGUAACACGUGGGCAAUCUGCCCUUCACUCUGGGACAAGCCCUGGAAACGGGGUCUAAUACCGGAUACGACCACUGAAGGCAUCCUCAGUGGUGGAAAGCUCCGGCGGUGAAGGAUGAGCCCGCGGCCUAUCAGCUUGUUGGUGGGGUAAUGGCCUACCAAGGCGACGACGGGUAGCCGGCCUGAGAGGGCGACCGGCCACACUGGGACUGAGACACGGCCCAGACUCCUACGGGAGGCAGCAGUGGGGAAUAUUGCACAAUGGGCGAAAGCCUGAUGCAGCGACGCCGCGUGAGGGAUGACGGCCUUCGGGUUGUAAACCUCUUUCAGCAGGGAAGAAGCGAAAGUGACGGUACCUGCAGAAGAAGCGCCGGCUAACUACGUGCCAGCAGCCGCGGUAAUACGUAGGGCGCAAGCGUUGUCCGGAAUUAUUGGGCGUAAAGAGCUCGUAGGCGGCUUGUCACGUCGGAUGUGAAAGCCCGGGGCUUAACCCCGGGUCUGCAUUCGAUACGGGCAGGCUAGAGUGUGGUAGGGGAGAUCGGAAUUCCUGGUGUAGCGGUGAAAUGCGCAGAUAUCAGGAGGAACACCGGUGGCGAAGGCGGAUCUCUGGGCCAUUACUGACGCUGAGGAGCGAAAGCGUGGGGAGCGAACAGGAUUAGAUACCCUGGUAGUCCACGCC
rnacentral:rRNA from 1 species